CAGUCGCCACGGUAAUACGAGGGGGGCAAGCGUUGUUCGGAAUUAUUGGGCGUAAAGGGCGCGUAGGCGGUUUGACAAGUCUGAUGUGAAAUCUCUGGGCUCAACCCAGAGUCUGCAUCGGAAACUGUCGAGCUUGAGUAUGGGAGAGGUGAGUGCAAUUUCCGGUGUAGCGGUGAAAUGCGUAGAUAUCGGAAGGAACACCUGUGGCGAAAGCGGCUCACUGGACCAUUACUGACGCUGAGGCGCGAAAGCUAGGGGAGCAAACAGGAUUAGAUACCCGCGUAGUCCCUGUCUCUUAUAC
rnacentral:rRNA from 1 species